UUUCCUUAUUUCCCCCUGGUGACUUUGAAAAUGUGUCUCAGAUAAACAAAGAGGUUUAUAGAACAUCCUGAUUUACUAAACAUCUGGAAGUGUUCUCUAAUCUCUCAAACUAAGCUUUUCAUCUAUAGACAAAAUUUUACAGUCUUAUCAACUACACAAGAAACUGACUGCUGUCAAAACAUUGUCCAUGUAUAUAUACUUUCUGACACAAAAUUUGUGUUAUAAAUUUGCUCAAGAUGCCACCAACAAAUAGAAUGAGUUGGCUGAAAUCUCUGUGAGUAGUUGAAGAGAUAACCUGGAGUACAAACAAUGUGACAGAAAAAUGGGUAAAGAGUUGCAGAAUGAGUAGACUGUCCUGGAUUUUGAAAGAAAGGAACUAAGUAUAAAGAAAACAGAAGUUACUUUGGAGGGGAGCUGAGGGCAUUCAAAACUUGAAUAUUUUCACCAAGGGAAAGAUUGUAAAAUUCUGUAGCGUUAAAUGAAUUUUAAACUAUAAAUUCCUCAAAGAAGUCAGGGUAAAAUUCUAAUUCACUUUAAAAGUGUUUCUAAACACUUGAAGUAGCUAUUGUGCUUGAGCUAAAAUACAGUGAAGAAGGUUAUUGGUUCAGGUCCCUCAUGCAAUUUUUCUUCUCUCAGAUGUUUGUAACUCUUUUUCAUUCUCCCAGUAAACAUUGUCACUGUGCUGGUAAGACCAUAAAGCAGAAGUCAAAUUGUGUGGGUCAGACAUAUCCUGUCUGGCUGGUUUCUGGUUUUUUGCUCUCACAACAGGAUCCCACCAACCAUGACUGUGCUGUACAGUGCCAUGGGUGCAGCCCCUUGGAGCCAAACCUGGGGCUGCUGCAGAGGUUUUGGUUUGAUUCUCCCUGUUAUUGGAGAAUCAUGAAAAAUAGAUCCGUGUCCCCUCUUCUCCUUAAUUCAGUUUGCACUGUUUCCAUUAUCUGUACUCAUUUUAAAGGCUUCUUCAUUUCUAAUUUAUGAAGUCAAUACUUUAAAUAGCCUCCACAGACACCUGUUCUGAUAGCUGUGCCAUUUGCACAGGAUGAGUGCAUUGUUUUUCUAGGACUCUGCACUGUAUUUGAGGACUCUUACACUUGAUUUCAGUGGGUUUUUUCAUUAUGAAAUUCUUCCGCACAGUAAUAUGUAUGGGAAACAGUUUGUUGGUUUUAACUUAUAUAAAGAAUGCAUUUGUUUUGUGUUUUGGAUGGGGUUAUGCAAGUUUGUAAAAGCUCCAGCUUCUAAGUAGAGAGAAUUCUUUGUAGAUAAUUUAUCAUCUGUGGCAUUGCCUAUCUCUAAUUUAUUAAUUUUCUGCCCUGUUUGGCAUAAGUGUAAGACAGCCCUUUCACAAUGAGAUAGAUUUUGGCUGCAAAACCUUCCAUCUCCUCUGUCUGCAUUUAUACUGAAAUAACUAUUUCCACAGGAAUGAUCCAGUAACAGAAACCAUUCCAGUGGAGGAGUGAGGGUGGUGAGGGAGGGUGGGGGAGCAGAAAAUACAGUCUUGUCACCAAAGUUCAUCCCCUACCAGCUGCAUAUACCUCAUGGCACACUUCUGCUUAGUACUUUGACAGAAUCACCACCCAAGACAUUUCAGAGGAGAGUACUACCUGCCAUGAUACUCCAUCAUUAAAUCUAGUCCCAUGCAUACAGGAGAAGAGGCAUCUUCCAUCUUGUGCUUUAUUCUGUGUUGCCUGGCAGAAGGGAGGUCUUGUCUGCACAGGAUCAGUUAGAGAAAAUGCUUGCCAUGUUUCCUGUGUCUGGUUCGAGUGGCAACUUCAGAACAGCAGAGUUGACUGCACUGGAGGCUUUCCAUGGAAACAAGAGCAGAUUGUGGUAUUUCUGCUUCCCAUUGAACCAUAGGGAUAUCUCCAAAUAUCAUGCUGUCCAUUUAAUUUCCUCAUAUCUGUGCUGCACUGAUUUGAAUUGCAUGUGUUAAUUUAACUUCCUUCAUUUUUCAGCAACUACUUUAAUCUCAUGAAGAUUUGGCUACUACAAAAUAAGCAUCAAGUUCUAUCUUCUUUCAUUGGAAAAAUAAGGUGGGGUUUUUUUGCAGUGUUUUGGAGGUGUUCUGUCUUCCUCUAAAAUAAGGCAACAGCUGUGUUCUGAAUAGCAGAAACUGCAAGACGUUUCAGCAGUUCCUGUCAAAAAUUCUGGCAAGGUGCAAACAAGCUGGCUCAGGUGCAAGGAGGCAAAUGCUGGUAAUAGGAGAUGAAGCAGCAUUCCAAUCCUGCAGACCUCAGCAAGUUUCAUUCCUCCUCAGAAGGCUGAAUAUAUGCUCAAGAGUGCAUUUCAAUUCCUAUUAUUACACAGGCAUCGUACCACUGACAAGUAUAUUCUGGAUCAUAUCAAGUGUAUACAGCAGAAAUUUGUCAGAUGCACUGUGUCUGACCAUGAGUAGCAGCCAUCAAUGUCAGCUGAUAGAAAUGAUGGAAUACACCUGUGUUGCUGUUUCUGCUCCAAACUUUGAUGAAAGGUGAGACUUUCAUGAGCUUUCCUGGUUGCUAUGAUGCCAUUUUUAACAUAUUUCAGGGUUUUACUCAACAUUGACUUUUUAUUUCCGUAUUUGUAUCUGAAGUUGGCCAGCAUACUUCACUCCUGGCCUUCCCCUAAGUUUUCAACACCCCUUGGCCCUGCUCAAGUAUAGAAUUCUAUUAGUACUUUUUUCUGUAAAAAUUCCUCAGAGAAGUAAUGUUUUUAAUCCCCAUAGAAAACAACCAUUCUCCACUGAGAGAAUUUCAAUUUCCAGAAACACCGAGGCUACGUUUCUUUUUGACUAGAUGAUAUCAUUCCUAAAAGGAAUAAUGCAGUAGCCUGUCCAAAGCGUGCCUUGCUUCCAGAGCUAUUUCCCAGCCUGCAUUAAGGAGGUCAUGCAGGGGAAUUAUGCACUCUCUGUAUGUGUUUCUCUGGGGAGCUGGAACAAUGAAGAUGGUUGUUCUGUAAAACCAUGAUUUUCUGAUGCCACUUAACAAAAGUCAUCCUGGUGAGCUGCUGGAAUCAAAGCUGCUCUCUGCAACCUGGCAGCUGACCACAGGCUGUUGUCUACCAUUGGGCCUAAGAUGUUUAUCCACUCUCUGAUUAGAUCUAUUAAUAUACAUAUUUUUCCCUUCCAGCUGAUAACUGGUGGAAUUUAGUAGUACAUCUAUUUGUACCCAAUGUGCCUUCCCAAUUGUACCCAGUCUAUGCUUCCUUGCCCUUCCUUUCAGCUUUUACUAUGGCUUUGAAAUUAAUUCUACAAGUUAUUGAGUCCCCAGUAUCAUAAACUAGUGAAGUGGAAGCUGCCGUCUCCCAAAGGAACAGCACUUCAUCCUGCUUCUACCUGCUGUGCUUAAAUAUGGCCAGGAACCUGAAACCACUUUAUUCCUUUUCCAAUUCCUCUGAGAUGUUAUUUUUUUAUCCAGUAUAUUUAAUUAUUUUAAUACAGUGAUUAACAAGCUGAUUCACUCAAAUUUGGAAUAAACCUUUCAAAUGUGUCCAGAAAAUAUGGAAUGUCUGGGAUAUUCUGCAUCUGUGAAAUAUUCAAAAAUCUUUAUCUUACAUUUUCUUGGGGGUAAAUCUGUUGCUCUGGACCGUGUCUUGGAUAAAUAGGUAGAUUUUCAAAAGACAUCAGAGUUUGUUAGCUUUAAUUCAUAUCACAGCACAGACACUUGAGUGCCCUCUGGGCUUUACAAACAUUCCUGUGAGUGCCUCCUGAACUCUCCUCUCAUCCUGCAUGAGGUAACGCUGCUCGCUGCCCUCCCUCUGUCACUGACCCUUUGUUCUUCCAAACACAGCAGAGACAAUGACUCCUCUAAUGGAGGACAUGUCUCCUAAAACAUCAAUAAAAGUGUUGGGUACUUUGGGUUUGCUCUUUUCUAAGAGUAGGACUGAUCACAGACAGGGGGGUUUGUGUUUCACUUGAGGGGAGACAAGUGUGGCCGUGUAAAACUCUCCUGUUUUCUGCAGCUGACUCUAUCUGAAAUCCUUUGACUUUAUAUCAGCUGAUCAGAUAUUCAUUUGACCAGAAAGAGAGGGAGUAAGCACAAGGGUGACACAGCAUGACUGCCAUGGCACCUUCUCUCUUUCUGCCCCCUGCCACAGCCAAGUAACUUCUUGGUGCAAAAUAAGGUAGCCAAGAACUGCAGUGCAGAUUUCUCUGCUUCUCAAGCAAUGCCACAGCCUCCUCUCAGGAGAAUCAUAGGCUUUACUGAGACUUUAACCUAAGCCUGAUUUGAAAAUAAUUCCCUCAGUUUCUCUGGUUCAGUCUGGCCCCUUCUCAAAACAAUUUUUAUCUUAGUGGUAAGGGGACUCAUACAGAAAACAGAUUUGGUUGCCUUCAGGCAGAGACAGUGUGGGCCUACAGACUCUCCACUCACAGAAAAUUGCUGUAUGCUAAACUGUGGUUGACAGCAAGUGAUUAUCAACAUAUAGAGCUUUAUUCAAAAUUUGUGUCUACUUCUGAGGAGACCUUAACUCUUGUCAGGACUCUGAAGCAGCACAUGUGGAAAUGCAGGUCCUUUCAGAUGGAGGUUACAUCACAGCUGCCACCCCUGCUGAGACAGGUCAGUGCACAUGAGAAAUGCUGCUGCUGAAAACAGCUCUCAGUGCACUGAGAGGCUGGGCAGAACCUGAGUUUGGGUUCUGAUCAUUCAGAUUUUGGCAUUAUUCAUGUAAAGCAGCACCAACUGCAGCUUAUAGCCUAACUCUUUGAGGGAUCCACCCUGGUUUGUUGUAGGCCAGAGAAAAAAAUCUUUGGGAAAAUUUAAAUUUAAUUGUAUCUGUAGAUUGAUUUCAUGUAGGAAUUCUGACUUUUCGCUUCUAUAUUAAUGUAAAUAUUAUUCUAUUAAUAUAUUUAUAAUCUAAUUUACUAUUUCAGUGUUAGUGAAUGGAACUUCACUGUAGAAUGAAUAUUUCCAAACUGACAUUUUAUGACAAUUUAUAAAUUCCAGUUAAUGAAAUUACUUGCCUGUGUAAGGAAGUUCAUAUAAGAAAAAAAGAAAGGGAAGAAAGGCAAGGAUAUUUCAGAAGUGUUGUUGUCAUGUAACUUAAAGUGUCUUUUCUAUGUACCUUCAUUCAGAUUUAGAUACAUUGACAAUUGCCAUAAUUUAGCUGUAUGUGGUGGUUUGACCAGGAAGGAGUGGGAAUUCUGGGAAGCUGUGGUCAAACCAAUGAAGGUUUUGGGUUUGAGAC